rnacentral:tRNA from 2 species
GGGCGGUUAGCUCAGUGGUUAGAGCGCUUGCUUCACACGCAAGAGGUCACUGGUUCAAGUCCAGUAUCGCCCACCA